rnacentral:lncRNA from 1 species
UUGAAAAGUUAAAAUUUCCUUAAUUUUUUAUUCCUGGUACCACUACCACAGGUUCGAUCCCUGGCCUUGGUCAGUGGGUUAAGGAUCCAGCGUUGCUGUGAGCUCUGGUGUAGGUUGCAGACAUGGCUUGGAUCUGGUGUUACUGUGGCUCUGGUGUAGACUGGUAGCAGCGGCUAUGAUUAGACCCCUAGCCUGAGAACUUCCAUAUGCUGUGGGUGGGUCCCUAAAAAGAAAAAAAAGACAAAAAAGAAAAAAAGAAAAAGAAAAACCUUGUUAAAGGCAAAUAAAGUCUCUAAUUAAAGGAAAAAAAAAGAAUAAGCUACAACAGAUAAAAGACCUCAGGAAUGUACACUAAUUGACACUACAUUGCAUUAAUCAGUAGCUGCACUUUUGGAAACUGUGACCAUGACAGGCCUGAACAAGAAGGGUUUCUUGUUUAAACUGCAGUAACUUUUCUGACCAUGGAUCAUCGUUCCUUCUGUGGCAGAUUUUUAUAGUUCCUCUAAUGCAUUUGGGAUAUCUGUCUCAAAGUAACCUGCAGCUUUCCUGACAACUCCUCACUCUCUCUCCUGCUAAGAACUGUAGCCCUUUUCUGCUGAGUUUUUAGAAUCUUCUGCUACCAUAUCUACCACUUGUCCCACCAGAUCCAUAACCACCAUCAUAGGAACUGCCCAAGUUUCUUCCACCAAAACUGCCAUCCUUCAUGGGUCCAUAAUUUGGUUGUUAUUGUCCACUAUAAUUUCCAAAAUCAUUGUAGUUCUCACCACCACCACAGUUACCUCCAAAAUUUCCUCCUUCAUUGAAACCAUCAUAUCCUCCACCACCGCCACCAUAUCCACCACCUUGAUUUCCAUAUCCUGGUCCACCACCACCAUAUCCUGGUCCUACUAUAACCAGGACCACCACCAUAGUUGCCACCAUCAUCUCCUCCAUAACUACCUCUGCUGCCACCACUUCCACCAACAUAACAUCCUCUUCCACCAAAGUUUGCACCAUGGCCAAAGUUGCCUCCACCACUUCCAGAGUUUCAUCCACAACCAAUAAAGUUGCUAGAUCCACCUCCAUGACCUCUCUGUGAUGUGGCAGACUGCAUUUCUUGUUUAGAAAGGGCCUUUUUCACUUCACAAUUGUGCCCAUUUAUAGUGUGGUAUUUCUGAAUAACAGUUUUAUCAACUGUAUCAUGAUCAUCAAAAAUUACAAAACAAACCCUCUCUUUUUCCCACUCUGCCUGUCUUCCAUAACUUCUAUGGUUUCAAUCUUGCCAUACUUUUCAAAGUAGUCUCUCAAAUGGUAUUCUUCUGUAUCUUCUUUAAUAUCGCCAACAAAAAUUUCCUUCACUCUUAGAUGGGCAGCAGGCUUUACAGAGUUCUCUCUAGAAACAGCUCUUUUUGGUUUCACUACACGCCUGUCAAUUUUUGUGGUUGAGCACACAUUGCUGCAUCUACCUCUUCAACACAGGAGUCAGUCAUAAAACCAAAGCCCCUAGAAUGUUUUUUUUGGGGGGUCUCUCAUCACCAUACAAUCUGUAAGUGUGCUCCAUUACUCAAAAUGUUCUCUUAAACUAUCUUCUGUAGUUUCAAUGCUCAGACUACCAAUAAACAGUUUUCUCAAUUGCACUGGUUCCUUUGGAUCAUGACCCUCCAUUUUGAGACCAAACUCACCUCUUCCAACUCAAGUUCAGUUGUUAUGAUAACAUCUUAAACAGCAGAAGCUGUAGUGGAGGGGACAGGGAAAGAGAUUUGUAGUGUAACUUAUGCCUCUGCUCCACUUGCAGGAUCAAUUUCUCAUUGCUUAUGAGCAACAAAAAUUGCCUUUGGCUAAUAGAAUAGGGGGAUUUAUGGAUAGAUCCUGGGUAAGCUCACCAAAGUGAAGGAAGGUGGAAUAAUGAAGCCUUGGGAAGACCAGAGAAAGCACCUUCUAGGAUCACAUCGAUCUGUGGGGCUAACUCAGCCUUAGCCAGUUUACCUCCUUGUGCACAGUGUCUUGUUGGUCAGCCUGAGCCUACCCCAGAAGUGAGCCAUUGUUUGAUGUCCCUGUCAGACUUUGGGAAUGAGGCAGAGAAACUCUCCAAAGGAAAAGUGAGGUGGUGUUGCCAGAAGACCAAGACCAAGAUAUUUCCUACAGAGUUCAUAGGAUCUGGCAGUGUGGCGAUCUCUUGGUGAGCUUGAUGUAAACAGUUUUAGGAAUAAAAAGUAACAAGGACUUGAAGAGUGGAUGGGAAGUGAGGAAGAAAGGACCAUGAGUAUAAACUGCUUUGGAAACAAAUCUGACUAGGAACCAUGGGGUUGCGGGUUCAAUCCCUGGUCUCACUCAGUGGGUUAAGGAUUGAGCAUUGCCAUGAGCUGUGGUGUAGGUCACAGAUGCAGCUUGGAUCCUGUGUUGCUGUGGCUGUGACAUAUGCCGGCAUCUGUAGCUCCGACUGGACCCGUAGCCUGGGAACCGCCACAUGCUGCAGGUGCGGCCCUAAAAAGCAAAAACAAACAAACAAAACCCCCCAAAAUUAUAAAAAAUUUUGAAAAAUCUUUUAAAUGGAAAAAUAUGAAUAAUGUUUUGAUAUAGCACUAACAGAGAAGGAAAAAUUAAUAAUAUGUGAGAGAAAGGAUAUAUUUCUAUAACAAGAUUGCUAAGAUGUGAGAGUGAUAGAGUCCAGAACAAAGGUAGAAGGUUUAGUGGAACUAUUAGGGAAGGUUUUAUAGAAGAGUAUAAGUUUGCACUGGGCUCUAAAGAAUUAAUAGGAUUUGGAUAAGCAGAGCAAAGUGGAAAGGUUUUGUCAGUGGAAAAACAGCAUAGACAUAGGGAAAAACAAACAAACAAACUCUAGCUGAUAAGGAGUCUGAGUUGGGGAAGAGGGAGAAGUAGCUGACAUGAUUGGCUGUAUAACCCUGCUCUUGUGUGGGUUGUACUAUGUGCGAGUGGAUGCAUGAGCCCCACCAGUGAAGAAGGCAAUGUGAGCUGGAGUCUUGAAAGUUUGGACCCACAAGUUUGGAUUUGAUGCAGUAGAUAUUGGGAAAUGUUACUGUAGGUUCUGGAGCAGGAGAGGCUCAUGAUGGAAUACAAUGGAAAGACAGUUGAAACAUUCGAGUAUAAAACCAUUGAAGAAUAGGGAAAAGACUGGGAGCAAAAGGCUAUUAAGAGCCACAUACGUGUAAAAUGAGGAAUCUUUUAAGGUGGUAGAAACAAGCAUGAGGAAAUGAACAUUUUGGGGAAAAGUUGAUAGGAUUCAGUGAGAAGAGCUGAAGAUUAUUUUUGGAUUGAGAGCCGCAUUGAAGUUUUGGUGUCAUUGAUAAAAUGAAGAAAUUAGAAGUAGAUCUCUUAAGAGGCAAAGCCAUUUAACAUGUUGCCAACAGACCUGUUCGUUGUUUUGUUGUUGUUGUUGUUGUUAUUUUGCUUUUUAGGACCACACCUGCAGCAUAUGGAAGUUGCCAGGCUAAGGGUCAAAUCAGCUAUAGCUGCUGGCCUACACCACAGCCACCGCAACACCAGAUCUGAGCUGAGUCUGUGACCAACACCACAAAACAUGGCAACACUGGAUUCCCAACCCACUGACUGAGGCCAGGGAUUGAACCCUUGUCCUCAUGGAUACUGGUUGGGUUUGUUACAGUGGAGCCUCGAUUGGAACUCCUCUGAUUUUGAAAUGAGUGGUUCUGAAGAGAGCUUUGCCUAUCCUAAGAUUUGUAACAAUAUCAGUGUUGAAUAGGUAGCUUUAUUAUAAAAACAUAACAGCUUUUACACAGAAACAAUUUGAAACAUUGUAGGGAAAAAGCAAAUAGAAAAAAGCGUCUGCCUGGGAGGUCAAGGUGAGAGAAAGACAACAGUUUGUGUUAGAGAAAAAUGAUGCAUCUCUGGAGAAGAGGAGGGCAACCUGGGAGAGAGAAUUUCAAGAAAGGGGGGAGAUCAGCCUCAAAUCCUGCAGAGAGAGAAGACAGAGAAAAAAACCUUUUAUAUGGUGAAAGGUAAUCCCUGACCUCUAAGAAAGCAGUUUCAGUUGGCAGGAGCAAUCGGAAGGCACACUGCCAUGGGUUUAGGAGGGAUUGGCUAGUGAAGGAAAGGUGAGAAGUUUCACAGGAACAGGAGGAAAAUAUGGAAUGUUAGGAAAGGCAAUAGAGUCUUGUUUAAUAUUAGGAAACUUUGUAUGUUGGAAGCAAGAGAGAAAUGGGUAUGGAGGAAAUAAAGUGCUAAAGAGGGAAGAAUCAAGUAUAGAAUCCCUCUCCACCAGAGGCAGGGUUAGCUUUAGGAUGUUCUGGUAGGCUGAAUGAAUAGAUUUAUAGACAGAGGUCUGUUGUGAUACAUGUGGGAUCCAGUUAAGGAACUUGAUCCAAUUUCAUCUUUCCAGAGAAUUAGGGAGGAAAUGGAAGAAAGGCAGCUGAAGAGUACCAGCUCUUGCCAGUACCAGACACUUUGCUUGAUCUAUUAAAUAUAUGAUCAUGUAAAUUCAUAACAAUUCUUUGAAGGGUUUGUGAUAAUCUCCCAGUUUUAAAAGUGAGGAUGCUAAGGCUUCAAGGCAUAGUUAUCUUAAAACCAAAGAGCUAGUAAAUGUCCACUUCAGGAUUUGAUCCUCAGUCUUAUAUCAAAGGUUAGUCCCACCCCACUCUAGCAUUCGUUCAUUCAUAUGAGGUAAAGAAUAUGGGGGGCUUGAGAGGAGCUGUGUUACUGAUGACAGUGGCUAUGCCUCAGAAUCACUUUAGGGGCUUUAAAAAAUUCCCCACAGUUGGAGUUCCCAUUGUGGCUAAGUGGGUUAAGAACCCAGCUAGUACCCAUGAGGACGUGGGUUCAAUCUCUGGCCUUGUUCUGUGGGUUAAGGAUCCAGCGUUGCCAAGAGCCAAGUCAUAGGUCAUUGGUGGCUCAGAUCCCGAGUUGCUAUGGCUAUGGCGUAGGCUGGCAGCUGUAGCUCUUAUUCCACCCCUAGCCUGGGAAUGUCCAUACGCUGCAGGUGUGGCC